GCUGGCGGCAUGCUUUACACAUGCAAGUCGAACGGCAGCACGGGCUUCGGCCUGGUGGCGAGUGGCGAACGGGUGAGUAAUACAUCGGAACGUACCCAGAAGUGGGGGAUAACGCAGCGAAAGUUGCGCUAAUACCGCAUACGUUCUACGGAAGAAAGUGGGGGAUCUUCGGACCUCAUGCUUUUGGAGCGGCCGAUGUCUGAUUAGCUAGUUGGUGGGGUAAAGGCUCACCAAGGCGACGAUCAGUAGCUGGUCUGAGAGGACGACCAGCCACACUGGAACUGAGACACGGUCCAGACUCCUACGGGAGGCAGCAGUGGGGAAUUUUGGACAAUGGGCGCAAGCCUGAUCCAGCAAUGCCGCGUGAGUGAAGAAGGCCUUCGGGUUGUAAAGCUCUUUUGUCAGGGAAGAAACGGUUCCGGCUAAUAUCCGGGGCUAAUGACGGUACCUGAAGAAUAAGCACCGGCUAACUACGUGCCAGCAGCCGCGGUAAUACGUAGGGUGCAAGCGUUAAUCGGAAUUACUGGGCGUAAAGCGUGCGCAGGCGGUUUUGUAAGUCUGUCGUGAAAGCCCCGGGCUCAACCUGGGAAUUGCGAUGGAGACUGCAAGGCUUGAAUCUGGCAGAGGGGGGUAGAAUUCCACGUGUAGCAGUGAAAUGCGUAGAGAUGUGGAGGAACACCGAUGGCGAAGGCAGCCCCCUGGGUCAAGAUUGACGCUCAUGCACGAAAGCGUGGGGAGCAAACAGGAUUAGAUACCCUGGUAGUCCACGCCCUAAACGAUGUCUACUAGUUGUCGGGUUUUAAUUAACUUGGUAACGCAGCUAACGCGUGAAGUAGACCGCCUGGGGAGUACGGUCGCAAGAUUAAAACUCAAAGGAAUUGACGGGGACCCGCACAAGCGGUGGAUGAUGUGGAUUAAUUCGAUGCAACGCGAAAAACCUUACCUACCCUUGACAUGGAAGGAAUCCUGAAGAGAUUUGGGAGUGCCCGAAAGGGAACCUUCACACAGGUGCUGCAUGGCUGUCGUCAGCUCGUGUCGUGAGAUGUUGGGUUAAGUCCCGCAACGAGCGCAACCCUUGUCAUUAGUUGCUACGCAAGAGCACUCUAAUGAGACUGCCGGUGACAAACCGGAGGAAGGUGGGGAUGACGUCAAGUCCUCAUGGCCCUUAUGGGUAGGGCUUCACACGUCAUACAAUGGUACAUACAGAGGGCCGCCAACCCGCGAGGGGGAGCUAAUCCCAGAAAGUGUAUCGUAGUCCGGAUCGUAGUCUGCAACUCGACUACGUGAAGUUGGAAUCGCUAGUAAUCGCGGAU
rnacentral:rRNA from 1 species